GUUAAAAAAGUAGUGUAAAGGUGACAGGGAGUGAUGGAGCUGAGGGGGUUGUUGUUUUAGGUAGAUUGGUUAGAGAAAGCCUCAAUAAUGCAAUAAACCUGAAACCUGAAGGGAAUUAGGGAAUGAGAUAGGGGGACAUCUGGAGAACACUGCUCCCGCAGAGGGAAGGGAAAUGCAAAAGCCCUGAGGAAGGAGUAGACGUCUUGUGUUUGAGAACCAGAAAGAAGACCAGAGAGACACGGUAGAAAAUGAGUUCCUGUAGUGGCUGGUGUGCUAUGAGAUUUGCAUGAUGGAAGAACUGAUUGAAGAGCAAGCAGCAACGAGUUGGCACUUAGGGCAAGAACUUAGGGCAGUUUUACAAUGAAAAAGAAUGCUCCCCAGCAGGAAAACUGAAAAGAACUUAAGGCAAUGAUCUCAUUAAAAUUUCCAAAGUCAGCUCUGGAGUUCAAGCUUUCUCAAAGAUCAAUGCAGACUUCACUUACCGUUGGGUUUUGCUGAUCCAUCCUUCAAGAAGCUAAUUUAAAUUUCUCCCUGCUAGGUAAUAUGAUCUCCAAUGUAUGACCUUCUAAUUCUGUUGAAGAAAAGGAGACUGAAGUUGUAAAAAUAAUUUCAACUCAAACUCCUUGGAUCCAACUCACAUAAUUAAUUUAACAGUAGCUCAAGGUUUCUUUUUUCCUUAAACCACUCUUUCUUUUUCCUAAUUGCCUAAUUUUCUAAUAGGCAUUGGAAUCUUCCAUUUGAGUCCUCUCAGAGCCUGAUUUCAUCUAUGUCAGAACAUUGGAGACUAGAAAAUUGGAUUGCAUAUUAAACUUAUUCUACUUUAAAGCUUCUUGAAUUUGGUUCCUAUUGGAUAUUAGAUUCCUUUAGUAGCUAAGAAACCAUGGCGACGACAGUACAGUAUGCUUUGAUAUAAUCAAAAAGGAUUUGUGUCUCCAUCCUUAGGCAUUAUAAAACAUUCCUCUCUGAAAUAAAAUUGUAUAUCUGGAGCAUA